UAAACUCGUCUCUCUGCAUGUCCAGCCCACUCAUUAGCUCAGCCAAUCAUGGCUAGUGGGAAGGUUCAUGUCCUUUUCUGGGGCUAAACCAACUAGGCUCGUAAUUUAACAACUUUAUUCGUAUUUACAGAUGGCAUACAAAAAAUAUGCCAUCUAAAUGGCAUCUAAAAAUGAGCUGCUCGUUAUGUGUAGAUUAUCCUUUCUACUGCAGUUUUUUCUAAAGAUAUAAUGUUAGCCAUGGAGAACAGCAAAUAUGUUGCUAUUGCUGCCCUGAAUUUAUCAGGCACUAUCGACAAAGGUCAGUGGGAAAAAGUUGUGAUGGACUACUUUCUGGAGGACGAUCGUGCCAUGCUGACUCUCUCUGAAUCUGAAAACGAAUCAGACAAUGAGGAAAUCCCUGAUUUAGGUAAAAACAUUUUCAUUGAAGAAUACAUUGUGGAGUCUUCUGACGCAGUGAUGGGGAAGAAACGACGAUCAACAGUGUUGUUGUCAUGGAAGAAGUUGACCGAGUUUUGACAUCAGUGGAAUGUCUGGUAGAGGCAGAGUAUGAUAAGGAGAUUAAUAGAAUUCUGGCGUUUGAUUGCAAAUGCAUAGGGAGUUGAAAAGAGAACACAGAAGGCUGUUGUAUAAAAAACCUGUCUCUGGAAUACAUCUUCAAACUAAGGGCAUCCGUGACAGAGAGGGAGAAAGAGAGGGAGAAAGAUCUGAUGAAUCUUAUGGCAUUGCAAACGGUCAGUGUGAACCAAAGUGACCAAACAAGUUGUAUAAACAAAAUGGAAACGACACAGGACGUCUUAUUUAAUGUAAGGGGUUGCAGUCUGCCCUGAAGCUUUCAUCCAUGUAUACGGGUACGAAUCUAGCUACAGUUUCAGAUAUUAUGCGUUUCUAAUUUUGUCAGAAAGUUGUUUUCAUUGCAAGUUAAGGCUUGCUGUUAGCUAGCUAGCUGACAUUGGAUGGCUUGCUAGCCAACAUUACGUGUAUGAACUGUGUAGUGAUGUUAUCUCAGAAUGCCAUUUUGCAUUGCUAGUUAUAGGAUAAUGUUAGCUAGCUAACUAGCUAACAUUGAACCUGUUUGGUUUAGCAAGCUAUGACAAUUGGUUUGUAUUGCUAGUAAUCUAUGGAUUGGGAUUAUGGUUCAUUGUUUAGCUAGCUAGCUACAUGUCUAAACAAAAGACCCCGAGUUAAAGCUUGCUGUUAGCUAGCUAGCUGACGACCCAUCAAGUUAGCCAGGUGUGUCUGACGGUGAUUACGACCAUCUAUUGUAUUAUAAUGCAAAAAUAUUUGCAUCUGGAAUUUGUCUUUCAGCAUCAGUAGAACACGCCUGACUCUCCUCCACCAGUCAUAGAAGGAGAAUGGUCUAAUGUCUCCUAUCAAAAAGAGAGCUGGCCCAAGCAAGCACGUUACACCCGAAGCACGAGGACUUGCAAGGACAACUACGCAGAGGAAAAUACAAUAGUAUUACCAGGACGCCACCUAGGACACAAACACUUUGGUGGAAAGCUCCUGCCAUCCCAUGUGACAAAAGCAGCAGUGUGGCGUCUCUACAAGGAAUCAAUGACAACACUUGAGGUAAGUGCAGUCGGGCUGUCUUCCUUCAGGAAUCUGUGGAGAUUCCUGAAGCACUAAGCCCAGGACAGACCUGUGUUGCCAAUGCCAGAGGAACAACUAAGGUCUUCAGAUUUGCAAAUUAAGUCAGCCAAGCUGAAAAAGCACAAGCUCCACUACAGUCUGGACCUUCACUUCCUGAUCACAGGCCACACCAAGUUUGCCCCCGACUGGAGAUUCGGCCUCAUCAAGCAGAGCUUCAGAAAGACCAUAGUCUGAUUCAUCAGAUCUUUCUCCCUCUCUGUCACGGAUGCCCUUAUAGACUUUGUCUGAGAUUGCUGGUGUUGUGAAGGACAGCACUGUGACAGGGCUCAACAUCCCACAGCUGGUUGGACUGGAUGAUGGUACGGUGCUGGUGGAAAGCUAUGGCUGGCAACACCUGACUCCGUACUUCAGGGCACUGCCACAGAUCAAGCAGUACCAGCACUUCAGGCGGAUAACAUUUUCAUUGCAAUCUUCGAUGCUCUGGAACCUGGUGUUGUUAUCGCCAAGGAGCGUUCGGACUGUCGGGACCAGGCUUCAGCUGCUGCUCAAUGCUGACAUCCUUCCUCCCAGAUGAUCUACCUGUACAAGAAACACCUGGACUGGACACAGCUAGAGAAACAAAUAUUUUUGAGAAGAUCAGGGAGUUUUGCGAUGAAGAGGCUGUGGACAUCACAUGCCCUGCACCAAAGUCAAGGGCAGGACAGAAACAGGCUCUCUGAAUAUAGAUUCCCUUGUUCAUGCGUGGUUCGGAUUAACCAGUCAUCAGCACUAUCUCUAGUGCCUCUAUUCACAUGACUCUCUUCUAACACACAGGCCAUACGUUGCUGCUACUAUUUUAUUUAUCCCGCUUCUCAGCCACUUUACCUCUGAUGUGUGCAUUUAACUACCUCGUCUAUCACUGAUAUCAUUAUUGAUAUUGUUCUUGUACAUACUGUAUAUUAUUUUAUAUAUAUUGACACUAUAUGUUUCUGAUAUUGCUGCUAUGCAAGUAACCAUUUCUCUGUACUGUUUACACCUUCUGUAGAGACCCAUCCACUUGGCAAUAUGUGGCUGGGGUUAUAGCAUUCCUUUCACAUGACCGAUCAGUUUAGACAAGUGUGUCUGGGUAAACGUCAUCUAAUAUUGAUAAAAUAUUUUAUCUGGACACUUUCUGUUUACCUGGAAUUUUUCCUUAUUGUAGGCUACUACUUUUAGUCUUCAUCCUUACGGCACUACUCACUGUUUAGCACAUGACAUCACGUGAACCCUUAAAGAGAUGGGUGGAGCUGGCUUAAGAGAGUGUGAGCAAUGCUGAAUGCGUCUAGACAAAGGAGAGUUCUCCAGUAGUAGUACCAAAACAUUCAAAGG